rnacentral:rRNA from 1 species
AGAAUGAACGCUGGCGGCGUGCUUUACACAUGCAAGUCGAGCGAGGCGGGUAGCAAUACCCAGUCGAGCGGCGAACGGGUGAGUAACACGUGGAUCAUCUACCUUCAGGUGGGGGAUAACCCGGGGAAACUCGGGCUAAUACCGCAUAACAUCGCGAGGUCAAGGGCGGCAAGUCCCGCCAGAAGAGGAGUCCGCGUUCGAUUAGCUAGUUGGUAGGGUAAUGGCCUACCAAGGCCACGAUCGAUAGCCGGCCUGAGGGGUGGAUCGGCCACACUGGAACUGAGACACGGUCCGAGACUCCUACGGGAGGCAGCAGUGGGGAAUUUUGCGCAAUGGGCGAAAGCCUGACGCAGCAAACGCCGCGUGGAGGAAUGAAGGUACUUUGGAUUGUAAAACUCCUGUCAGCAAGGGAAAAAAGGGUACGUGGCCGAACCACCCAAGAAUCGAUUAGGAUUGUACCUGCAGAAGAAGCCCCGGCCUAACUCUGUGCCAGCAGCCGC